rnacentral:rRNA from 1 species
UACGUAGGGGGCUAGCGUUGUCCGGAAUCAUUGGGCGUAAAGCGCGUGUAGGCGGUCCGGUAAGUCCGCUGUGAAAGUCGGGGGCUCAACCCUCGGAUGCCGGUGGAUACUGUCGGGCUUGAGUACGGAAGAGGCGAGUGGAAUUCCUGGUGUAGCGGUGAAAUGCGCAGAUAUCAGGAGGAACACCAAUUGCGGAGGCAGCUCGCUGGGACGUUACUGACGCUGAGACGCGAAAGCGUGGGGAGCAAACAGG